GGCAGACAUGAGCAAACGGUCCCAGCACUGCAGAGGUUUGAUCUCAAAGGAGGGGGGGCAGAGACUCCUCCACCUGCUGCUGUCACCCAUGGUCCUUCUGAAGCUCCUCCACCCCAAGCAGCACCCUCCAGAGCUGAGACAGGAAGCCCAGGUGGAGGGGUUAAAGCUAGCGUUAGCUUAGCAUCAAACCCAGAGUGAAUGAUAACACACAGGUUGAUCGCUCUCUGUCUGCACAGUGUGUAAGAAGGGCUUUCUGAGGGACUGUGCUCCUGCACUGAGACUGGUUCUCUUACAUCAGUGAGUCUGUGUGAACACUCUGCUCACUGUCUGAGCUCAUCAUGAUGGAUUUACAGCAUCUGUAAAAUGGAUCAGUACCUUUAUAAGGUCAGCUUCAUGUGUCUGAAGGGCAGCCCUUCACAUGGUCCUCACCUCAUGGUCAAGUUCUUUUUGCUUCUGUUCUCUGAGCUGAGCUUCAAAUCAGUGGAACAUUAAAGUCGGUGCAGCUCACUGUGGACUCUGUGUGUUCUCUGCUCUCAGUUCUUCCUCUCACUGAGGACUCUGUGUGUUCUCUGCUCUCAGUUCUUCCUCUCACUGUGGACUCUGUGUGUUCUCUGCUGCUCUGAUGAUCCAGUUAUUACCUGCAGCAACAAGCACAACAACAAACUAAAACAAAACAAACAGGUUGUUUUUAAGCUCAGCAUUGAAUGAUGACAGGUUAGCGCCCUCUAGUGGCGCCACUCUGUCUCUUUAUGUAACUCUCUCCACUUCAGGAAGCUCCACCCUUUUAUAAACCUCACCUGUACUUCCUGACAGGUGAGGACGAGGCAGAGCUGCAGCUGCUGUGACUCAGAAAUAAACAAACAACAAACAGUGAGGACGAGGCAGAGCUGCAGCUGCUGUGACGCAGUUACACAGAAACAAACAGUACACAGGGAGUAAGGCAGUGGAAGAACAUGGGCAAUCCAACAUCCAGGGAGAUCUUGGAGGUCCGGGAGCGGGAGGAGCAUAAGCAGAAGUUGGAGGGACAUGCACAGAAGUCCCAGAAGCUCCCGAAGCCAGAUGAGGUCUGUCAGGGACCUUUUCCACUCCCCAUGCCUUAUCUUGUUGAAGGUCCUGCCCCUCCUCAUCUUUCAUCUUUUUUGAGACCUGGUUACUCAAAGAGUUUGUCUGAAUCCUCUGACUGCAGUGAUGUGUCCUUGAGCAGUGAGAUGUCCAGAAAUCACCUCAUUAAUUUUAAAGAAAACCAUCUGUCCAGCAAGAGGAGACCUGAGCUCAGCUUUGGAUCCUCUGACUCCUUACAUCUGUCGGAUGACAGUUUGGAUGAAGACUGGUCUUCCAAGAGCAGAUACAGUGACAGAAAUAUACUGAGAAAGGAACUGGAAAAACUGCGCCAGGACAGAGAGGGCAAAAACCAUCUCCUAGACCUCUUUCUGAUUGGACCACAUGGCACCAGGGACGGGCUGAUGUCCUCCAAUCAGGACCAGCCUCAGUCUGAAGCUGCACCAACCAGCCCUGGAUCCUCUAAAACCUGUGAUUUAUUGAUGAAGAGUGACGGGUCCAAAGGUCAAGGUGUUGAUUUUGAAGGAUCAGAUCCUGAGAGAUCCUCUCCACCAAGACCUGAAUGCUUAAGACCCCAAACCCCAGAUGAACCUCUGCAGUCCUGGAAGCUCCUGAUGUCACGCAAGGUCCGGGAGACAGUUCCUAUAGCCCUACCCUGUCCUCCUCCCUUUUCUUCUUGGAGGUCAGUCAACACGCGAGCGGUCAGAGUGAAGAAAGACUCCAAGCAUGGGGAGAAGGGAACAGUUACACCUGGACACAGGCGCAUCUUUGGAUCCUCUGACUCCUUGGAUCUGUCUUCCAAGAGCAGAGCACCGUCAGAACACAGCACAAUCACUGACUCUGUGUUUACAUCCAUGGAUGAUGACAGACCUCUGCACUUCCCUGCGGUAGGAGCUCACUGCCUUGAUCAUGAACCCAUGAUGAGUGAUGAGCAGGAUCAUGAGUUUAAAGGACCAGAUACUGACAGAGCUUCAUCCUCUGAAUCCUCUGACUGCAGUGAUGGAUCCAUGAGGAGUGACAGGUCAAAAGGUCUAGGUGCUGACUUUAAAGGAUCAGAUCCUGAGAGAUCCUCUCCACCAAGACCUGAAUCCUCAAGACCCCAAACCCCAGAUGAAGCUCUGCAGUCCAUGAGGCACCUGAAGUCACACAAGGUCUCAGGUGAACUUCCUGAAGGUCGUCCUCCUCCUCGUCGUUCAUCUAUGAGGAAAAGACGUUCUGGUCGUCGCUGAGGUGAGGGACGUCAGGUCGAUCCAGGCUGUGAGAACGCACCACCGUGGUCGCAGCCAGAUGGAACUGCACCGCCACGAAAUCCUAAUCACAAGCUGUUCUAACAAAGUGAUGCACAUGUCCACUUACCUGUUAAAUACAGAAACAAAUACAGUGUAAGUAACAGACUAAUUUACCCAGACCCCUGUUUAUAUUAGGCUGCUAAAUUAGCUUAGCAUCAAAGACACAGUCAACUUUAUUUUAAAUUCUGCUGUUAGAGGACAUACUCACAAUCAAAAUGUUUCUCUCAGACCCCCAAAAACUUAAGUAUGAAUACAAAAGGUACAAAAACUGAAACUGUAUGAGAUGAAAUACAUUUAAUAACAUAAAUAAAAUGCAAUAAAAUAUCAUACAAAAUAUUAAAUAUAAUACACAAGAGUAUUAUUAAGGUUAAGGGUGAGGUAGAAGUGCAAAAUUAAAAUAAAGAAUUUAUUUACUGAGGCGGUGGAGUAAACUACACCCUAAGGAGGAUGAGCCAGUUCCUAAUAGUGCUGUUCACACCUAAGUGUCCAUUAUCGUUUCAGUUUAAUUCAGUUUUAUAUGUACGAUCAGACAGUGAUAACUUACAUACAGGUACAUAAGCUCACCUGCUAAUAUCAGCAAUAUCAGCAUGUUCAAUACUUUUACAUGUAACACAGACUCAUGCAUCAGUGUGGAUUUUGACCAUAAAUAAAUAUGUUCAAUAUAAAUAUAUAGCACUGCUGCACUGUGGCCUGAUAUGAAUAAGGUGUUUGGUGCUUGGCUGCUCCACCUGCCACAAAUACACAUGCAUAUAAUGUGUUUAAUUAAUAAGUUUCUUUAAAUAUUCUCAGUUUCCUUCCUACGUUCUGCUGUCUGUGUUCUGAGUCAAAGGUGUUCUCUUCUAAGGAAUUAUGUUAUCGUUUUAAUUAAUAUCAUCUAGCCCUUACUGUUCAAGUUGGAUAUGAUUUAAUAGUUUGAUAAGUCUGGGUCUGAUGUGCAGUCGCAAGAAAGAAAGUGAACCUUGUGGAAUUUACCAACAUUUCUGCAUUAAUAGGUCAUAAAAUCUAAAUAAUAAGAACAAACAGUGUGCUUUAUGUAAUAUCACACAAAGUAUUAGAACACUUCAUGACUUUAUUGAAUCAUUCACUGCUGGCGUGCAGAGCCACACUUAACAACACAUUUUCCCAGUAGUGUUGUGACGUGUCCCAGUGCUCGUUGACCAGUUAACCAGUCCCGGUGGUUUCUGUCACUCAGGUCUUUUGACCUCACUGGGCAUUCUGAGGGGUCUUUGGCCUCCACCUCUACUGAGAGUAGCCACAGUACUAAAUCAUUUCCAUUUAUACACAUGUGGUCGAUUAAAAAGCCUUUGUAUAAAGGGUUAACAGGUUUAAAAGGUUGGGUCAGAGUAGCUCCACACCUUACCCCAAUCUUAUUUCAUCAAGUGAAUGAUUUUUUUGGAUGUUGGGUUCAUUUAGUUUUUUCCAGUGAAUGUGUUGAAUAAUGACAUGAAAUAUUCUAAUUGUGUCGUAUUGGGUGAAGCUCAUUGAGUUUGUUCUUGUGACUUCAGGAUGUUCAGGGUGACAGAUGUUUUGCUGUAAGACAAUCAUUCAGUUAUUCAGUUGAUUUCAUGUCAUGUAUUUACUUGGUUUUCUUUACAUUUAUCUUUAGUUUCAUUAAGUACAACAAAAAAAACAACAAAACAUAAAAACACAAAAAAAGCAAGAAGCAGUAAUGUUUAUUUUAAAGCUUAGCAUCAUUGUAACUGUAUGUUAGCUUCUCCCUGUGUGUGUAAUUGAUGCAGGGAGCUCAUGUAAUCACUCCAUACUAUAGACUGAAUAUACUCUGAUGAUAUGCAUGUAUGUUGUUUGUGACAUGGAUCUGUUACAUGUACCUAAACACAGAGAUGGGGCCUGGGUCGGACUUGACUGGACCUUAAAAGACUUGUGGCUUUGUGAACAAUGUUCAAACCAUCACAGCUUAUGAUAACAUGUGGGUAUGACGCCUUCAACUAGGAGCCCAACAAGCCAACAACCUGCAGAGUGGGCGGGGUUUGAUAGGCCGCAUUCAAAACACACAUGGUUCUGAUCAUUGACUUCAAAGAACACAAAGACAGUUGGAUUUGAUUAAUUAUGAGUCAAUCAUUUGUUAUUUGUCUUGAUUCAUUAGUAAGAGCACAGGAGGCAGUCGAUGAGUCUCGAUGAGUCUCCAUCUAGUCCCCAUCUCUGUGACUUGUCAACAUCUCUGUGAAACAACAAGGUCAAAAUUAUGUUAACCCUUUCAUAUUGCUGUUUUCUUUUUGCUUAAAAUCAAUGAACCGAA
ensembl:lncRNA